rnacentral:tRNA from 1 species
GCGGGGGUGCCCGAGCCUGGUCAAAGGGGGCGGACUUAAGAUCUGGAUAGGAGAUCCGCUGGUGUAGACCUGCGCGGGUUCGAAUCCCGUCCCCCGCA